UACGGAGGGUGCAAGCGUUAUCCGGAUUCACUGGGUUUAAAGGGCGCGUAGGCGGUCAGUGCAAGUCAGUUGUGAAAUCUCCGGGCUUAACUCGGAACGGUCAACUGAUACUGCUCGACUAGAGUGCGGAAGGGGCAACUGGAAUUCUUGGUGUAGCGGUGAAAUGCGUAGAUAUCAAGAGGAACACCUGCGGCGAAGGCGGGUUGCUGGGCCGACACUGACGCUGAGGCGCGAAAGCUAGGGGAGCGAACGGG
rnacentral:rRNA from 1 species